AAAUCACCUGAGAGGAGACAGAGAGGAAUGGAGAAUUUGAUUUUAGCAGUAGAGAUGAUGUGUUUGCUCUUCUGUGUGAUUACAGGAACACAAUAUGGUGCACAACACAAUAUGAUGACUGAAUAAACAGCUCAGCUUAUUAAAAUAAAAGUAGUAGAAAUAAAAUAAUAAUAUGAUGAAUUAUACACGCCUUGGGGUAUUUACUUAUUUUAACAACUGUUAUGACAUAUUCACCAUCAUUAAUCACAAAAUAAAUAUUAUUUUAGUUAAAGGAGCAGUGUGUGAUUUUAGUUAAAGGAGCAGAUUUCGCAUGUAGAUUUCCGUUGACCUUCCAUUGAUUUCUGUUGAUGUUCUCCAUCUUUUACACAAAACUGAAUCUUUCUUUUAUCCCGCAGUCAUUUUCAGUCCCGUGCCAACCCAGACAGUUUUUGCUUUAGGAACUUCAUAUCCACCCUCGUAUGAGACGUCAAGUGCCAUAGAGCCGAAACGAUAAAUAACCAUAGGAAAGAUGGUUUGCAUAUCAGUGACGUUUACAGAAUUUUCCUGAAUUGGAAUUUGAGCUGCCAGUUGAUGAUGUCAAAAGGGGCAUUACAGCAGCUGACCAAUCAGCAGCUUCAGGUGAACUCGCUUUCAGUGGAAUUGUAAUUGUUCUAAUGCUGCAUUUGUGCAAACCUGUAACUGAGAAUUUCCAAUCUUUCACUAGGAAAAAAAAAAAAAAAACACCCCUCAACUCAGAAUUCCUACUCGGAAAGUCAGGAGUCUCUUCAAUCCUGAGUUCAGUGAGUGACAAACAGUCCAACAUGGCAACUCACAGCAUUAACAGUAAAAUUUUUCUUUUAAAAAGUAGACCUAGCACCGUUCCAUUACCCACUAUUAGUACCGAGCCCGAUACCAGUAAAAAAAAUAAAUGGUUUAAUGGAUAUAAGAGAAAACAUAUCAGAUAUUGUUGCUAGCAAAAGCUGAAGAUGGAGGCAUCCAUGUUUUUCCCACUUUGUAG